AUGGACAGAGAACAAGAAGAGAUGCAAUUUCUAGGACUCUUUGGAAUCUACAAAGAAUCCAACAAAAUCAUAGUUUCAUGCAGCAAAAUCUUCAGCCAAAUUGCCUUAAUUCUCAUCCUCCCUCUCUCCUUCAUCUUCCUUAUUCAUAUCGAUGUAUCAAACAUCCUCUUCAAAAAAAUCAUGAUCAACACACAAGAAGUAGUCCACACACCACAAGUAGUCUACACCAUAGCAUCUUUUUACACUGCAAGAGAUGUGAGUUUCAAAACUGUCAUGAACGUUGUUCCAAAGUAG